CCCAACGGGAGAAGCAGGCAGAAGCCCUCUGGUUUGGGUGUUUAGCUGUUAAUUAAUUUUUUACGGGAUCGAGGCCCGUCUGU
rnacentral:tRNA from 1 species